rnacentral:rRNA from 1 species
CUUCGGGUACCNCAACCGGCGCACGGGUGCGUAACGCGUAUACAAUCUGCCUUUCACAUAGGGAUAGCCCGAAGAAAUUUGGAUUAAUACCUAAUGGUAUAUAAGAGCGGCAUCGUUUUUAUAUUAAAGCUACGGUGGUGAAAGAUGAGUAUGCGUUCUAUUAGCUAGUUGGAGAGGUAACGGCUCCCCAAGGCGACGAUAGAUAGGGGUUCUGAGAGGGAUGUCCCCCACACUGGUACUGAGAUACGGACCAGACUCCUACGGGAGGCAGCAGUGAGGAAUAUUGGACAAUGGUCGGAAGACUGAUCCAGCCAUGCCGCGUGCAGGAUGAAGGUCCUAUGGAUUGUAAACUGCUUUUGUAAGGGAAGAAUAAGGAGUACGUGUACUUUGAUGACGGUACCUUACGAAUAAGCAUCGGCUAACUCCGUGCCAGCAGCCGCGGUAAUACGGAGGAUGCGAGCGUUAUCCGGAAUCAUUGGGUUUAAGGGGUCCGUAGGCGGGCUGAUAAGUCAGAGGUGAAAGCGCUUAACUCAACUAAGCAACUGCCUUUGAAACUG